UACAGAGGGGGGCAAGCGUUUGUUCGGAAUUACUGGGCGUAAAGGGCGCGUAGGCGGCCCGCUAAGUCGAACGUGAAAUCCCCCGAGCUCAACUCGGGAACUGCGUCCGAUACUGGCGGGCUUGAAUCCGGGAGAGGGAUGCGGAAUUCCUGGUGUAGCGGUGAAAUGCGCAGAUAUCAGGAGGAACACCGGUGGCGAAGGCGGGUCUCUGGGCCGAUACUGACGCUGAGGAGCGAAAGCGUGGGGAGCGAACAGG
rnacentral:rRNA from 1 species